rnacentral:lncRNA from 1 species
GCACCUCUAAACUUUGUUAUGAAAUGUAAUUUUGGUGUUGAAAUUUUUUAGGAUGUGAGUAUUUAUUUUCGUAUAUAAUUUUAAUAUUUUAAACUUUUAAAAUGGUUCAAAUCAAAUUGGUCUAUAAACACAUGAAAUUAUUGAAAAUAGGCUGUCUAGAUAACGUAUUGCAAGAUGUAUUAUUUUUUGGACUUGAAAUCCUUUUUCAUUUCUUCCAUAUUCAUACUUCUUGAUGUUGAAAUAGCCUUUUUUUUUUUUUUUUAAGGGAUUUCUGAGGAGCAUCUUAAUUCUACAUUUUAAAAUGUGUAAACUUUUUCCAAAUAAUUAACAAGGCCAAAACCCGGCAGCAUAAACUUCCAAUCCUCCCAUAUUUGAUAUAUAUAUCUCUCUCUAUUUCUUGAAUUGGAAGUAGAAAUAAGGCAAAAAGAUUCUAUGCUCCUAUGGGAGUAUGUUAUCCAUUUGAACCCUCGGGUAAAGCCUAGAAGUAUCUUUUUGGACCCCAAAUCUUGGGCAUGUAACCUCAUCAAGCC